CGACUCUUCAUCAAUGAAGGUCCGGGCGACAGAAAGUGAAGCCGAAGGAGAAGCGACUCCACGCCAGCUUUAAGAACGUUUAAGGUUGAGCAGGCGAUGGAAUGGUUUGGUGUUGAGCGGGAAUUCUUUUGAUGGAUACGUAAUGAAACCUUGAGUAUGCAUCUCCAUAUGCAUAACUCACACGUUUUUCCGCUGCAAACACUCUGAAUUUGUUAUCGUAUUAUGGAACUUAUUACUCUUUCACUUUGUUUAACUUUCCCUUGGGCCUGGUCGUUAUGGCAUAAUCGUUUGUAAAAUAUCCAAGCAGUUGUUUAUAUAUCACUAGUUGUUGUUAUUAA